rnacentral:lncRNA from 1 species
GGGUGCUUGGCUGUGACAGGUGCUAAGGGCCUGGGCGUCAGCUCCUUGCGGGAGCGUCACUGCCGACCGGGAAGGGAAAGGCAAUCUUGGGGGCCUCCGGAGUCCGGAGGGUCACUCUGAUGGGUCUCCUGGCCUCAGUGAUGGAAUUAAGAUGACUUCUAUCUCUGAAUCCAAGGGUGACUGAAAGCCACAAGCUGCAGAAAGGACAAGAGGCAUCACCUAUGUGGAUAAAGACAGCAUCCUGAGUUGAUGGAGAAAUGGCAUAGAAGGAACCAGGUCCUUUGAUGACAUCAUGGAGCAAAGCUGUCUUCUUGCCUUGACCUGCUACCUACCUACAUGGGAAGCUGUUACUUGAGAAGGCAAUAAAAUCUAUCUUCUUUAUUGA